rnacentral:rRNA from 1 species
UACGGAGGGGGCUAGCGUUGCUCGGAAUCACUGGGCGUAAAGGGUGCGUAGGCGGGUUUUUAAGUCAGAGGUGAAAUCCUGGAGCUCAACUCCAGAACUGCCUUCGAUACUGGGAGCUCGAGUCCGGGAGAGGUGAGUGGAACUGCGAGUGUAGAGGUGAAAUUCGUAGAUAUUCGCAAGAACACCAGUGGCGAAGGCGGCUCACUGGCCCGGUACUGACGCUGAGGUGCGAAAGCGUGGGGAGCAAACAGGG